UCCAGGGAAUCUCACAGAUCCUGACUAGUCCUGCAAACCAACCCUCUUGAAGCUAAUCUCCCUCAGCAUCUUCUGGUUCCUCUACUCCACCAAAAUUCAAACUUCUUCCAGGGAUAAUGUAUUUGACCCUGAAGGAAGAUAUCAUUCCAUCCAGUAUAAGUGGAGGAGAAGGCCUGGAAUGCUUCCUGUUUUCACAUGAUCCUUUGUUUGAAAUCCAAGGGUCAGAGAAAGGGGAGGAGAGACUAGAGGGAAGAAGUUACAGGCUUGUUAUUUAGCUGAGGAUGCCUGGAAGGCUCAAAUGGUUAAGCCUCUGCCUUCAGCUCAGG